rnacentral:rRNA from 1 species
GACGAACGCUGGCGGCGCGCUUAACACAUGCAAGUCGAGCGGGAACCCAGGCUUCGGCCUGGGGGAAAGCGGCGAACGGGUGAGGAACACGUGGGUAAUCUGCCCUCGGCAUCGGGAUAGGCCGGGGAAACCCGGAUUAAUACCGGAUGGCCCAUCUUCUCUUCGGAGCGGGCGGAAAAGGUAACUUAGGCCUCCGGGCGAGGAGGAGCCCGCGGCGGAUUAGCUUGUUGGUGAGGAAAUGGCUCACCAAGGCGACGAUCCGUAGCUGGUCUGAGAGGACGAUCAGCCACACCGGGACUGAGACACGGCCCAGACUCCUACGGGAGGCAGCAGUGGGGAAUCUUGCGCAAUGGGCGAAAGCCUGACGCAGCGACGCCGCGUGCGGGAAGAAGGCCUUCGGGUUGUAAACCGCUUUCAGGAGGGACGAAGCCACUCGGGUUAAUAGCCCAGAGGGUGACGGUACCUCCAGAAGAAGCCCCGGCUAACUACGUGCCAGCCGCCGCGGUAAUAC